GACGAACGCUGGCGGCGUGCUUAACACAUGCAAGUCGAGCGAGGUCCACUCGGUGGCAACACCGGGGAAGACCUAGCGGCGAACGGGUGAGUAACACGUGAGCAACCUGCCCCGAAGACCGGGAUAACACCGGGAAACCGGUGCUAAUACCGGAUGUCCUCAUUGGACCGCAUGGUCCGAUGAGGAAAUGGAUUCCGCUUCGGGAGGGGCUCGCGGGCUAUCAGCUUGUUGGUGAGGUAACGGCUCACCAAGGCUACGACGGCUAGCUGGUCUGAGAGGACGACCAGCCACACUGGGACUGAGACACGGCCCAGACUCCUACGGGAGGCAGCAGUGGGAAUCUUGCGCAAUGGGCGAAAGCCUGACGCAGCAACGCCGCGUGAGGGAUGACGG
rnacentral:rRNA from 1 species